GUCUAGUACUCAGUAGUUUGAUCCGUGGUCAGGAUGAACGCUGGCGGCGUGCUUAACACAUGCAAGUCGAACGAAGCACCUGAAUGGAUUUCUUCGGAAUGAGGUUCUUGUGACUGAGUGGCGGACGGGUGAGUAACGCGUGGGUAACCUGCCUUACACAGGGGGAUAACAGUUAGAAAUGACUGCUAAUACCGCAUAACCCGCUAGUACCGCAUGGUACAGACGGAAAAGAUUUAUCGGUGUAAGAUGGACCCGCGUCUGAUUAGCUGGUUGGCAGGGUAACGGCCUACCAAGGCGACGAUCAGUAGCCGACUUGAGAGAGUGACCGGCCACAUUGGGACUGAGACACGGCCCAA
rnacentral:rRNA from 1 species